GACGAACGCUGGCGGCGUGCCUAACACGUGCAAGUCGAGCGGGGAGGAGGAAGCUUGCUUCCGAAUCCUAGCGGCGGACGGGUGAGUAACGCGUGAGCAACCUGCCUCAAACAGGGGGAUAACGCAUCGAAAGAUGUGCUAAUACCGCGUAAGACCACGGUGUCGCAUGACACAGAGGUCAAAGGAGCAAUCCGGUUUGAGAUGGGCUCGCGUCCGAUUAGCUAGUUGGUGAGAUAACAGCCCACCAAGGCGACGAUCGGUAGCCGACCUGAGAGGGUGAUCGGCCACAUUGGAACUGAGAAACGGUCCAG
rnacentral:rRNA from 1 species